rnacentral:rRNA from 1 species
UACGUAGGUGGCAAGCGUUGUCCGGAAUCACUGGGCGUAAAGCGCGCGCAGGCGGCGAUCUACGUCUGGGGUGAAAGCCCGGAGCUCAACUCCGGGACUGCCUUGGAUACGGGAUCGCUUGAGGAUUGGAGAGGCAAGGGGAAUUCCACGUGUAGCGGUGAAAUGCGUAGAUCUUGGGAAGAACACCUGUGGCGAAAGCGCUCUACUGGACCGCGACUGACACUGAUGGACGAAAGCUAGGGGAGCGAAUGGG